CCAAAAUGCAGUUUCAGAAUGGUACUAUGAAUUUUGACAAAAAAAGAAAGAAAGAAUGGUACUGUGAACCAGUAGCAUGCUUUUUUUUAAUACAAGCAGCAAAAGAAAGAACCAGUAGCAUGCUUUGCUGCUCUAUUAUUGUUUUCUCUAAUAUUCUUUAUGGCCUUUCGUUACUGGCCCAAUUCUGUUAUUUUUUUUAUCUUAACUUGAGAUUAUCUAUCUACUAACUUAAAAUGCAAGGUGCAAUUUCACUGUUCAUAGUGCACCAUUAUUUUUUUUGUUGCAGUUGUUAGAUAGUUGGGCCUAUUUUUCUUUAGUUGACUAAUAGGUUCUAUUUCAAUAGGUUAGCACUUAGCAGAAAUCAGUAUCUCCCUUUCUCCUGUGUACGCACUCGACCCUCUCAUGCUCUACCGUGUAGGCUCUGUCAGGACCUCGCCACAGCUGGCCUCCGCCCUCGCAAAGGCUAUGCCCAAGAUGGGAGAUCUAUCGUUGUAGUCCCAACUGUCCUCAUACCUAUUCACUGCUGGAUCGUACUUUCCCUAUUCUCAUUUGUUCCUAUAGUUGCUCUCAUCAUCCAGCCAAUUUUCAUGGCUUUUUACCCAUAGCUACGAGUGUAUCAAUCCGAUACAUUGGGGAGUUUGAAUAUGUUGAUGAACACAGAGCUGCGAAAAUCGUGGUUGAAUUGAACGGUAGACUGAACAAGGAGAUUGAAGGUUGGACUGCUAGGCUUCUCCCUUCAAGACAAGUAAGCUGAAAUGCCUUCUUUACUUCAUUGCUUUGAAUCUGAUUGCUUUUUCAAAUGUACAUUUCUAUUAACUUUUGAGAUGCCUUGAGGUAUUUGAUUUGUGCAGUAAUAUGGAAAUAAGUCUUUCUUGAUCCCUAAUAAGAGCUUAUUUAAGUGUUUUCAUGCGAUAAUUUGUGUCCAGAUCAGUAGAUUAGUUCUAAACAAUGAUGCAUCAUAUAAAAGUGUUCAAUUGUUACUUGUGGUGAUUUAUUAAUUUGUGUUGUAGAAUUUUCAUGUAAUGUUUGAAGAGAUUGGUCAAGACUUUGGGCGUUUUCUUAUGGAGAAAACAAAGUGCUGGCUUUUAAUUUGCGCACAGACACAGUAGUGAAGCCAUACCGUGCUUUGUCCAAACAAGUUGAAGCGGCGCUUCAUAGUUAUCCGAUACUCACAUCAUUUUAAGGAUAUGCUUUCAAUAUACUGGUUUUCUCUGACCAACCAAUCUUCAGAUAGUUAGAUUACUAAUCAAUAUGUGGUGUUCAAUCAUUAAUCUGGUCUCAUUUCUUAAACUGAUUUCUUCAGUCUUAUGGAUCUCUGCAUCAUACUCUAAUAGGAUAAGGAUCCUUUCAAUUGUAUAACAAUCUUAACCAUGUCAAGUUGCAUCAUCUUAUGACUGACUGAAAAGAUAAAUUAUUGCAAUUAAUUAAAUGGGAAAAUAGAUGACAAAGGUUUGAAUUAAUUAAAUUAUCAAACUGACUAAGUCGUUUGUGCAAUAUAAUCAUUUCAUUUUAAUGUUUGCACCCAUUUGUUCCUAAGCUGGCUGUCAACUUCGUUCGUAUAUUUUAAUAUAAUCAUACCUAGGGAGCAGUUGAGUUUUAUAUUUUUCAAAAGAAUUUUCAUGUAAUGUAGGAUGUGCUUAAUCCCCUUAGUAAUAUCAAGCAUAGCAGGAUCUUUUUAUAAUGUGCUUCAUUUUGUUUGCAAAACCAAGUUGUUAACUAUAAUUUAUCUGGUUAGCAAGGAAAUGAUGUUUAGGAGUCUAACAGCUGUUGUAACAAUGCUCUCCUUUACUUUGCUUUCUAACUUAGUAAUUUGUAUCCUUUGUUAUUAUUUGGUUCAAGUGCUGUUAAUUUCCUCCAGAAAAUGCUAUACAAGCCAUAAGCUUUCUACCAAAGUGAUUUCAAGAAGUGAGUGCUUAUCAACUGAUUUAAAUAAUGUUAGGAAUUAGGACUACUAUUAUAUAAAUGUGUUAAAUUAGAAGAAUGAUUCUGAUUCUACUAUAUAUUUGCCAAGCCAAAGGCUCAUGCUCCAUGUUUUCCCAAUUAAUUUUUGUACAUUGAUCACUUAGACUAGGAACUGGAUUGGAGGAUUGCAGACAUCUAUGUUUUUAAACCUAAGAGGCUAAGACUUUUUUGCACCUUCUCUUUCCUUUGAUGGCUAUUGCAUUCCAUUUCAAAGAAAGAUGAAUUUUGAUAUUAAAUCAACUUGCAAAGUGUAGUGUGAUCUUUCUAGCAAUUUGUUGUUAGAGUGGUUUAUUUAAGAUGCUUCCCAAUUUGACUUCUAUGUCAGUAUUUAAAGCAAUUGGCCCAGCUGGAGGUGGUGUUAUGUGAGUGUCUCUAGCAUUUUUUAUACCAAACUUUUAUUAUUGUUCAAACCUAUGAAUGCACAUAUCUAGCUAGGAAUUAAUAUUUUAAAUGAGAAAAGGAAAAACAAAAAGGCACUUGCAUAGUAAUGUAAAUGUUUUACAUAAAAUCUGUCGUGUAUAGAUUAAUUUUAGAGAACAUGUAUGAAAUUUCAUGCUAAGUUCCUUAAUGAUAUGGUCCUGUGAGAAAGAUAAAGUUUGUACAUCCAUUAGAGUAUCACUUUCCAAGUUAUAAAGUCAUAAAAGCUUUGAAAACAAUUCAACUAAGCAAGCUAUAUAUGUGUUCAGUUUUCCUAUACUGAGUUUGGUCAAUGCAUAUUAACUUGGUCACAGAAGCGGAUAGAUGCAUCUUUCCUUCCAGGUAUGAUGAUCAAUUCAUAUAACAAUUCAAAAUAUCCUAUAUAUAAUUGUCAAAUGCUGAGCUUGGUCAAGCAUAUGCUGCUUAAUAUGAAAAAAUACAGCAAAUUUCUUAUGAUUUUUGCAGCAUAAAGAGUUUAAUCCCUCAAAUAAAGAGUGCAACUUCUAAACUUGCGAACUCUUAUGAACAUUUGCACAUGCCAUUCUUUUUCCAGCUAUAUUACCUUGAGCUAACUGUUGUAAAUUUGACUGCAGGCACACAUAUGGUCUUCUUUAUCCUGAAUGUUGUUGCAGGAUAUGGAUUGCUAUUGAUGUGUACACCAUUUCUGAGAGUAAAGAAGAAAUCUCCCUCUUAGCAGUUUAGUAAAGCAUCCCCAAUUCAUUAGUGCUUCGUUUGGGGAUUGGUACUUGGUAGUUACUGUAUAUACUGGAUCAUGGUGAUAGGGAUACAUGUUGCUGAUUGAUGGUGUUAAAAAAAAUGGAUUUUAAGUGGAGUUUAGUGCAGCAUUUAAUGAAAUUUGAUUCAUCAUUUGUUUCAUGUGUUCUGAGAUUCAUAGGAUUUAACCUGUACAUGUGUCUUAUAUUCACUACCUAGAAUUUUCCAAUAGUUGUACUGUUUCAUAGUAUGUCCAUUGUUCCAAGAGGUUUCUUAUGUAUCUAUAAAUACACAUGUACUAAUUCAUUUUCCACGAAGCCAAUAAAUAUAAAUCAAGUUAGUUUCUUA